GAUGAAGAACGUAGCGAAAUGCGAUAAGUAAUGUGAAUUGCAGAAUUCAGUGAAUCAUCGAAUCUUUGAACGCACAUUGCGCCCGCCAGUAUUCUGGCGGGCAUGCCUGUUCGAGCGUCAUUACAACCCUCAGGCCCCCGGGCCUGGCGUUGGGGAUCGGCGGAGCCCCCCGUGGGCACACGCCGUCCCCCAAAUGCAGUGGCGGUCCCGCCGCAGCUUCCAUCGCGUAGUAGCUAACACCUCGCGACUGGAGAGCGGCGCGGCCACGCCGUAAAACACCCAACUCUUCUGAAGUUGACCUCGAAUCAGGUAGGACUACCCGCUGAACUUAAGCAUAUCAAUAAGCGGAGGA
rnacentral:misc_RNA from 1 species